CGGAGGGUGCAAGCGUUAUCCGGAUUCACUGGGUUUAAAGGGUGCGUAGGCGGGCUUGUAAGUCAGUGGUGAAAUCUCCGGGCUUAACUCGGAAACUGCCAUUGAUACUAUAAGUCUUGAAUUAUCUGGAGGUAAGCGGAAUAUGUCAUGUAGCGGUGAAAUGCUUAGAUAUGACAUAGAACACCCAUUGCGAAGGCAGCUUACUACGGGUAUAUUGACGCUGAGGCACGAAAGCGUGGGGAUCAAACAGGAUUAGAUACCCUGGUAGUCCACGCCCUAAACUAUGGAUACUCGACGUGCGCGAUACACAGUGCGCGUCUGAGCGAAAGCAUUAAGUAUCCCACCUGGGAAGUACGACCGCAAGGUUG
rnacentral:rRNA from 1 species